rnacentral:rRNA from 1 species
AGUGAACGCUGGCGGCAGGCCUAACACAUGCAAGUCGAACGGCAGCACAGGAGAGCUUGCUCUCUGGGUGGCGAGUGGCGGACGGGUGAGGAAUACAUCGGAAUCUGCCUAUUUGUGGGGGAUAACCUCGGGAAACCGGGACUAAUACCGCAUACGACCUACGGGUGAAAGCGGAGGACCUUCGGGCUUCGCGCAGAUAGAUGAGCCGAUGUCGGAUUAGCUAGUUGGAGGGGUAACGGCCCACCAAGGCGACGGUCCGUAGCUGGUCUGAUGGGAUGAUCAGCCACACUGGGACGGAGACACGGCCCAGACUCCUACGGGAGGCAGCAGUGGGGAAUACUGGACAAUGGGCGAAAGCCUGAUCCAGCCAUGCCGCGUGAGUGAAGAAGGCCUUCGGGUUGUAAAGCUCUUUUGUUGGGAAAGAAAAGCAAUCGGUUAAUACCCGGUUGUUCUGACGGUACCCAAAGAAUAAGCACCGGCUAACUUCGUGCCAGCCGCCGCCGUAA